rnacentral:rRNA from 1 species
CCUACGGGUGGCAGCAGUGAGGAAUAUUGGUCAAUGGGCGAGAGCCUGAACCAGCCAAGUCGCGUGAAGGAUGACGGCCCUACGGGUUGUAAACUUCUUUUGUCAGGGAGCAAUUGGGUCCACGCGUGGGCUUAGAGAGAGUACCUGAAGAAAAAGCAUCGGCUAACUCCGUGCCAGCAGCCGCGGUACUACGGAGGAUGCGAGCGUUAUCCGGAUUUAUUGGGUUUAAAGGGUGCGUAGGCGGAAUAUCAAGUCAGCGGUAAAAAUUCGGGGCUCAACCCCGUCGUGACGUGGAAACUGAUGGUCUUGAGUGGGCGAGAAGUAUGCGGAAUGCGUGGUGUAGCGGUGAAAUGCAAAGAUAUCACGCAGAACUCCGAUUGCGAAGGCAGCAUACCGGCGCCCAACUGACGCUGAAGCACGAAAGCGUGGGUAUCGAACAGGAUUAGAUACCCCUGUAGUC